AACGCUGGCGGCGUGCCUAAUACAUGCAAGUCGAACGGCUUUUCUAUGGAAGCUUGCUUCCACUGAGAAGAUAGUGGCGAACGGGUGAGUAACACGUGGGUAACCUGCCCAUAAGAGGGGGGAUAACAUCCGGAAACGGGUGCUAAUACCGCAUAGUUUUCUUGAUCGCAUGAUCGGGAAAGGAAAGACGGCCUUUGUGCUGUCGCUUAUGGAUGGACCCGCGGCGUAUUAGUUAGUUGGUGAGGUAACGGCUCACCAAGACGAUGAUACGUAGCCGACCUGAGAGGGUGAUCGGCCACAUUGGGACUGAGACACGGCCCAAACUCCUACGGGAGGCAGCAGUAGGGAAUCUUCCGCAAUGGACGAAAGUCUGACGGAGCAACGCCGCGUGAGUGAAAGAAGGUUUUCGGAUCGUAAAACUCUGUUGUCAGAGAAGAACAAGUUGGAGAGUAACUGCUCCAGCCUUGACGGUAUCUGACCAGAAAGCCACGGCUAACUACGUGCCAGCCGCCGC
rnacentral:rRNA from 1 species